AUACCAAUAUUUGGAAGUCUUUCUUAUAAACAUUUACAGUGAGCUACUCCAGGGGCUUGGCAACCCACCAAGGGAGGUGGAGGUUGAAACGUUGGGGCGCUGUCUGAAGAAUUCCAGGAUUUCAAAACCCUCCGUUUGAAGACCUCACAACAGAAACACGUAACCCUCCUUCCUCCAAAGAAACACUUCGUUAAUUC